GCAAGUUACACAAAUUGUUUCACUUGGAACUUUUUACUACAACCUUUACAAUGAAAUUCGUCGUGGUAUUCGUUAUGUGCCUGAUCGCCAUGGCGUCUGCAGCCCCCCAGUUGAUCUACCCUUUCAACGGACUUGUGGAUAAUCUGGCUUCUCAGACUGUGAUUGCUGGUCCGACUGUGGUCAACCGAGGCCUUGCAGGUUUCGGUGCAGGCCUAGUGGCGCCCGGAUUCGCUGACUUCUUG